rnacentral:rRNA from 1 species
AACAGAGGUCUCAAGCGUUGUUCGGAUUCAUUGGGCGUAAAGGGUGCGUAGGCGGCGAGGUAAGUCGGAUGUGAAAUCCCGGGGCUCAACCCCGGAACUGCAUUCGAUACUGCUUUGCUUGAGUACUGGAGAGGAGACUGGAAUUUACGGUCUAGCAGUGAAAUGCGUAGAUAUCGUAAGGAAGACCAGUGGCGAAGGCGAGUCUCUGGACAGUUACUGACGCUGAGGCACGAAGGCCAGGGGAGCAAACGGG